UAUCGUAAUUGAAGAGGUUUGGAAAGACCCACCACAGAAGGUAAUAGUCCUGUAUGUUAAACGAGAAGACUUUAGAUAUGAUCCAGAGUACCACGGGACACGUGAAACCCUGUGGGAAGCAGGAGGGACCACCCUCAAAGGCUAAAUACUACCUAGUGACCGAUAGCGUAUAGUACCGUGAGGGAAAGGUGAAAAGAACCCCGGGAGGGGAGUGAAAUAGAACCUGAAACCCUGCACUUACAAGCUGUGGAAGCACAUUUCUUG
rnacentral:rRNA from 1 species